GUUGGCCAACAGCACCAAAGGCAGUUAUCAUUAACCUGGGCCCCCCACAGUGUGGAAAUCUUACUCUUAAUGAUUGACAUGUUUGAUUUGGCAGAGACUUUACACCAGAGGGAAUAAAAAAUGCACUGGCUUGUACCUGUAAAUGCACUGUGCUGUUGUAACAGUGUUUAUGUGGUAUUAUUCCACUUGCCACAAAUGUCAGUGUAAUGGGGAAACAGCGCCCCCCCCUCUCGGUGUGGCUGGUUAGGUGAGGCUGGCUGCAGUAAUCGCUGCCAGUCUGCCGUAGCCAUACGAGAGUGUGCUGUGCGGAGUGGUGUAUGGCGAGCCUGUGCACUGAUAAUACACCGUUGUUUCCAUUCAGGUGACUGAGCAAUGGAGAAGCUGGAUGAUGUAACAGUAUCUGUCCUUAAAGGUUAUAUUUGAUAAUAUAUUUGUGUGUGUGUGUGUGUGUGUAUAUGUGUGUAUAUAUAUAUAUAUAUAUAAAAAACACCCAGCACGCCCCUGCGGGCGGUUUAUCCUUCAAGCUCGGGUCCUCUACCAGAGGCCUGGGAGCUUGAGGGUCCUGCGCAGUAUCUUAGCUGUUCCCAGGACUGCGCUCUUCUGGACAGAGAUCUCCGAUGUUGUUCCCGGGAUCUGCUGGAGCCACUCGCCUAGCUUGGGAGUCACCGCACCUAGUGCUCCGAUUACCACGGGGACCACCGUUACCUUCACCCUCCACAUCCUCUCGAGCUCUUCUCUGAGCCCUUGGUAUUUCUCCAGCUUCUCGUGUUCCUUCUUCCUGAUAUUGCUGUCAUUCGGAACCGCUACAUCGAUCACUACGGCCGUCUUCUUCUGUUUGUCUACCACCACUAUGUCCGGUUGGUUAGCCACCACCAUUUUGUCCGUCUGUAUCUGGAAGUCCCACAGGAUCUUAGCUCGGUCAUUCUCCACCACCCUUGGGGGCAUCUCCCAUUUUGACCUCGGGACUUCCAGGUUAUACUCGGCACAGAUGUUCCUGUACACUAUGCCGGCCACUUGGUUAUGGCUUUCCAUGUAUGCCUUGCCUGCUAGCAUCUUGCACCCUGCUGUUAUGUGCUGGAUUGUCUCUGGGGCAUCUUUACACAGCCUGCACCUGGGGCCUUGCCUGGUGUGAUAGACCCCAGCCUCUAUGGAUCUUGUACUCAGAGCUUGUUCUUGUGCUGCCAUGAUUAGUGCCUCUGUGCUGUCUUUCAGUCCAGCUUUGUCCAGCCACUGGUAGGAUUUCUGGAUAUCAGCCACCUCCUCUAUCUGCCGGUGGUACAUACCGUGCAGGGUCCUGUCCUUCUAUGAUGGUUCCUCGUCUCCCUCCUCUUUCUUGGGUUUCUGCUGCCUGAGGUAUUCACUGAGCACUUGGUCAGUUGGGGCCAUCUUCCCAAUGUAUUCUUGGAUGAAUAGGAUGAGGGACCUAUGGAUUCUUCGCUGCAAGCAUUGACGAGCGCAUGCUUUUAACAUUGACCCGUGAUGAUCUGAGGGACCUUUUUUCUGGGCCUGAGCACUUUCUCAGAAGAAAACAUGUGUGGUCAAUAAUUCAUCCUGAGGAAGACCAUCCGCUACCACAGAAACCUGAAACAACUUCUUCACCCAGGGUAGUUGCAACAGGCCCUCCAACUGCUGAUGCUAAUGUAAGCCAGCUGAAAACCUUGCAGCUCCCCAGUCCUCCGGAAUAUGUUCUGUACACCGACAGUGAGUUGGAGCAAUGCCGAAAGAGUUACCUGGAGUUGGCCUGCUCCGGCAGGGAACAGGCAUGCGUCAUGUCAAAAGAACUGAGAUGCAGAUUGGUGAGAAAUACAAUCACAAGUAUGGUGUCCCUUUUGAGAGCAAGCCAAGGCCAAAUGGAGCGAUACCCCUCUAAGACCGAAAUCACUGCAAUGGCUAAAAAAGUUGUGGAAUAUUAUCCUAUGCUGCAGGAUAAUGAUGCAAGCGUAAAACACGAGAGCAUUAAUGCCAAGUUACAAAAAAGGCUGCAAAAUAUGAAAACCCCAGUAAAAAGGCAAGGACCAACACCGGAGAGGGGACGGCCCAAGAGAAGGCUCACUGACCUCUACCCAAGGGAUGAAGAAGCUGAUGAUGAAGAUGCUGAUCGCAGUUCUUCCAGUGGUGCAUCUACUCUGUUAUCACCUGUCAGAAAUUCUGACAAUGCCUCCACUUCAUCUGACAAGGAUAGUCGGCAAAUACAAGCAAGACAUUACAAAACAUUACAAGAAAUGUGUAAGAAGGCAAAACCAAACCAAGAAGAUGUGUCCCAGCUAUUAGACCUCGAGUUUGAAGCCAGAAGAUCCUUCAUUGACUCAGACACCAUGAAAGAGGAGAACAGAGCUUGCCUCAUCUUGGAUGCAUAUCCAUGCUUUAAAGAAUUGCAUCAUGCGUUGGGUGAGCUUCGCAGAAUUUUGGAUCCCCACAACAACAAGUUCAUCAGUCAAGUAAAACUGAGAUGGGAAGAAUUCUGCUCCAGGGUAGAGUUCUACGGUGUGUCAAAGAAGGCAAUGAAUCCACCAAUGACCAUGGACAAAACUGAAGCCCACCUUGCACUGAUGAAGGCUCUUCCAACCCUCUUUCCCACACCUGCCCAUCCACCAAAGAAGAUGGGGAAUGCUUCUGAAGCAUUUCUACAUGUCCUGAAGCCUACAGAAGAUCCAGAUGCUGUCCUCCAGAAACGAAGCUUGUCAUGUCCAGUAGUGAUGUUCGAUGGCUGCAAGUGUGUCAUUGCUGUUGGUAAUUUACCAGUUACAACAUUUGACAAAGAAAAAAUUGGUGAGGCUAUGAUAUAUGUGAUGGCAUACUUUUAUGCACUCCAUCUGACUUACCACAAAUGCGUGGCAACCCUGCUGUCUGUCAUUCAGACAGAAGUUCUCCAGGAUGCCAUUCAUGAGCAUGACACUACAUCAUCUUACAGAAAAGCCCUGGCAGAAUGGCAUGCAUUUAUUGGAAAGUAGUGUGUAAAUUUCAGAUAAGAUUAGGAGAGGGCACUUCUGUUUUGUUUUUGUUUGUUUUUUCAAUCUGGGUCUUAUUUCUAAAAUGGAAAAUGUUCAUUUACUCACCCAGACAAGUUUUGUGGUAUUUGGUGUCAUUCGGAAGAAAUUUGAAUCUUUGUGGUCUUCCUAUGUCACUCGUCAAUUUUAAUGGGGCAAUGGCGAAACCUCUAAGGCUGUUGAAAUGUUGAAACCACUUAAACAAACUCAUAAUGUUGGACCUGUACUGUUCAAUUGUAUCUUUAUUAUCUGCAGGUUAUUGUUAAAGUGGACAAAUAAAGAUGGACACUUUUACUCUGUUUCAGUUUUGUUUUGUCCUUAAUCAGCAAU
ensembl:lncRNA